UUGACAGAGUAUUUAAUUUUGAAUUUUGAAAAAAACAAGUUGUUUCACUUAAAAUCUGAUUGCCCUGCCCCUCAUCACCCCCUGCAAUUUCCCUACAUGUAUCUGCUAAAGGGGUUAUAUAUAGUCUUUCUGCUACCCAAUUUGUUUAGACUAAAAUUAGAAUUACUAAGAUACCAUGGAGAUUCUUAUUCCAGCAAAAAUAUUUUUAACUGGACAAAAAGUGUAUUCCAGUCACAGUUGCAGCAAUAUCUUUCAGAUCCUGGCCUUGCUGUAGGUGUUCAUUGAGUUCAGCCACGCUUCAAGUAUUUUGUUCCACAGAAUCAUCACCUACAGUAUUUCUGAUUUUGGUGUACUUGUGGAUCCAGUAAAAUUAUGAGCUGAACUGCACACUAAAGUGUGGAGUUAGCUCCCAGGAACUGCAGCCCAUGAGUACUUGUUAAGGGCUCUCUGGCCAAGGGGAAGGGAUGACCAGUGGGGCUGAUCCUGGGUCUGCAGGGCCCCAGGUGGGAGCAGUAGAAGAGUGAGGAGGUAGAAAUUCAGUUUUGAGGCUGAGCAUUGUUUCCUGAAGGUCUGCUUCUGAAUUUUGGGAGGAUACACAACUUCUGCUGUCCUCACUGAGAAGUUGCUUGUGCUACUGUUCUACAGUAGGUUUUAACUUCCAGUGCAUCCCGAUGGUUUUCAAAGGAAGGAAUGGAGACCUCAUGACAAGUAUUGUUUUAAGCAUGUGGUACCUUACUGUCUACUUCUCAUCAGGAUCAUCUUGGAAACUCAGCAGAAAAGCUCAGCGUUUCUCAGGGAGGAGUAGGAAAGUAUGCAGGAGCAUCUCGGCUCCAGCAGGGGUCACCUGCUCUUUGUUCCAGGCAUCGUUCUCACAAAAGCUCCUUUGCACUGGGUUUUUCUCAUGCUUCUCCAUGCAGGAAAGUGUCCGUGGAGCAGCACAUCCUGGACCAGUAAAGGUGUAACCAUUUCCUCAUGACAGAAGGAAUCACGGGGGAAGUGAAACAAUGCAUGGCCUAAUCAAUAUUGAGGAUCUGUGUGGUCUUUGAGUGCCAGGCUCCAAGGUGUGCAUUCAGAAAGACAGCCUGUCCUUUACAUAUUGUUCUGCAGCACAGAGCAGUAAUGGUAUGGGUAACAUAAGACCUGCAAUUAUGAGAGCAAAGAGAAUGAGAGAAUACAUUAAUGAGAUCAGAGGUUAAAUUAACAUAACCAGUGUCACCGAAUGACACACCUGAAAAUUCACAGCUGCCAGAAAACUUCCUGCUACUGGAGGGAGACAGUCAUUUAGCCAGGCAGUUCCUCAAUUUUGGCUUUCUGUGCAUUUGACUUUCUGAAACAUGACUGAAAAUAGGAGUGUGCCCAGACCCACACAGGAGGGCUGAGGAGUGGACUGCAGUGCUGCUGCUCUAGUGUGCUCCCCUCACUGCUGACUAGCAAAGAGCAACUGUUCAAAGAUGGGC